rfam:Echinostoma caproni strain Egypt genome assembly, scaffold: ECPE_scaffold0011365
GCACUGCUGAUGAGACUCAAUCAGGUCGAAAUAGCUGUCCAGUGC